UCAACUCUUAUACAUUGCUGUUUCAAUCUUGAAGACUAGAACUGGCUACUGCAGAACUUGUUUUCUGCUAUGGAACAAUUUGUAUUCAGCAAUUGAUUUGCAAUCAGAUGUAGGCUUGAGGAUCUGCACGUUGCCUAGCUCAAAGAUCUUAUGAAACUGUGGUUGUUGGCUUAUACAAGUAGUUCCCAAUUAAUUUUGCACCUCUGCAACAUAUCAUAAUCCAGCAGAUACAAUAAAUGAAUUAGUGCAGUGGUUACUUCGAAAAAUUUGGUUUAGUGUAGUUUAUAAUUUUGCCAAACUGAUCAAACAGUGUGUUAGGCUAAUGAGAAUAAGUUCAGCACAUUGAUUGAAACAAAGCUUCUNAAAAUCAGAUUUUAAUCAGCUAUACAGAGUUCAAUUCAGUGGUAUUUGGAUUUGUCAGAAU
rnacentral:lncRNA from 1 species